AUUGAACGCUGGCGGCAUGCCUUACACAUGCAAGUCGAACGGCAGCACGGGGCAACCUGGUGGCGAGUGGCGAACGGGUGAGUAAUGCAUCGGAACGUGCCAUUGAGUGGGGGAUAACGUAGCGAAAGUUGCGCUAAUACCGCAUAUUCUGUGAGCAGGAAAGCAGGGGACCGCAAGGCCUUGCGCUCUUUGAGCGGCCGAUGUCAGAUUAGCUAGUUGGUGAGGUAAAGGCUUACCAAGGCGACGAUCUGUAGCGGGUCUGAGAGGAUGAUCCGCCACACUGGAACUGAGACACGGUCCAGACUCCUACGGGAGGCAGCAGUGGGGAAUUUUGGACAAUGGGCGCAAGCCUGAUCCAGCCAUGCCGCGUGCAGGAUGAAGGCCUUCGGGUUGUAAGCUCUUUCUAGCCGGGAAGAAACGCACGCUCUAACAUAAGCGUGUGGAUGACGGUACCGGACCAACGAAGCACCGGCUAACUACCGG
rnacentral:rRNA from 1 species